rnacentral:pre_miRNA from 1 species
CGGCCUCGCCGGAUCUGGGCGAGCUCGAGCUCGCCCAGAUCCGGCGAGCCCGAGCUCGCCCAGAUCCGGCGAGCCCGA